rnacentral:rRNA from 1 species
UACGGAGGGGCCAGCGUUGUUCGGAAUCAUUGGGCGUAAAGGGCGCGUAGGCGGCUUUGUAAGUCCGUUUGUGAAAUCCCUCGGCUCAACCGAGGAACUGCGACGGAUACUGCUUGGCUUGAGUCCCGGAGAGGGUAGCGGAAUUCCCAGUGUAGCGGUGAAAUGCGUAGAUAUUGGGAGGAACAUCGGUGGCGAAGGCGGCUACCUGGACGGGUACUGACGCUGAUGCGCGAAAGCUAGGGGAGCAACAGG